AUGAAGGUAUUGCCUUAUGCUUCUAGCUUGGUUUCUCUUAACACCUUGUGGCUGUCGUGUGCACACAACCAUCACACACGCUAUGCCCGUGAACAGGACACAAGCACAAAUGCGUCGUCGGACUGCAUAGGCUCACCGGCCGAACUUCACAGGCUCCUUCUUCCUUCCAGCCGAGCUGCGCCUAGCGCCGGCGAGCAAGACCACGCCUCAGGCCAGCUCCGUUGGUCGCUGACCAGCAGGAUGAUGCCACAGGCCAACGACGAACUGUGUGUACGCGCCGCAAAACUGCAGCCUCCCCAGCUCGUGCGUGCCAUGAGCAACCUCGUUCAUGGACUGAAGAGAAGCCACCGGAGCUACUGCCCCAUUCUUUAA
rnacentral:rRNA from 1 species